rnacentral:rRNA from 1 species
GGAGACCUACGGGGGGCAGCAGUAGGGAAUUUUCGUCAAUGGGCGCAAGCCUGAACGGGCAAUGCCGCGUGAACGAGGAAGGUCUUCGGAUCGUAAAGUUCUGUUGAAGGGGAAAAAGAGCGGAGAGAGGAAAUGAACUCCGAUUGAUAUUACCCUUCGAGGAAGUCACGGCUAACUACGUGCCAGCAGCCGCGGUAAUACGUAGGUGGCGAGCGUUAUCCGGAAUGAUUGGGCGUAAAGGGUGCGUAGGCGGCCUGCUAAGUCUGGAGUGAAAGGUACCGGCUCAACCGGUACCGGUUCUGGAA